GUCCCACAUCUCAGCCAUUCAUUCCCUGGAGGGUGAGACCCUGGCCCCGCCCCCGCGGUCAGCCCCGCCCACCGAGUCCCGCCCACGCCCCGACCAACCCGAGGGAAUUUUGGCCUAAACUGAAAAUGAAACCAGUAGCCGAGAGCGAUCCGCAGUUUCACUCUGUCAGUUUGUGCGCUGGCCUUGACUACCAGUGUCUCCUCCUCCCAAUACUCCGGCCCCUCCUGCUCCACCCACGGUGCCCGCGGCUCCAUCCUCGGACUCGCGGCGUCGCUGUCGAACCGCACGAUCUGCGUGUCGUCCACGUAGCCCACUCCGAUGUACCUGUAUCGGGGCUCCCAGCGGCCGGGCGGGGACACGGUGGUGCUGAAAUACCUCAAGGAGUGGGAGCCUGGGGGCGAGAAGGGGCUGAGAUCCGCCCGACCUUCCUCCUGGCCUGGCCCCCUGGGUCCUGCAUCCCCUCCGGGCGGGCCUCUUGCUCCUCCCCGCAGAGGCCUUUUCCCUCCCUAGUACGCACUCACCCACCCAGGUCUCGGUCAGGGUCAGGGCCCCCAAGAGUAGCAGGAAGAGCGUUCGGGGCUCCAUGACCCCAACCUCCGUAUCUGGAGAGAAUCUGAGUCCCCGUGGGUGCGUGGGGACUUCAGAAUCAGGACCACGGCGACACUGAUUGGCUUCUAUAGAAACCCAACACCCAAUGGGAGUGAGAACUGGGUCCCCGUCGUGAGUAUCCUGGAAGAAGGACCCGACACAAGUUGGGAAAGAGAAACUCUGUGGAAAUGGGGAAUCCCCAAAUGCUGAGCCUCCCUACCCAGACUUGAGCCACUGAGAGCCGCGCCUGGGGCGCUGGGACUUCACCCUGAACCUCCUCCUCCUGGGCAGGGUGUGUCUCAGGGUCUCCUUGAGCCUUCGCCUCGAGGCUGAGAAACUAGGGAGAAACCCUUCCCCUGGAACCCAGUCUCUCUCCCUUCACUUUUCAUCCCGGAAUCCCCGUCCCUGGACUGAACUUUCUGCCUCCCUCUAAAGCUGGAUUCCCCUGGACUCUAUUGGAAGAAAACUCACUCCAGGAAGCUUGGCGCCAGAGAGUGAGCUUGGACUGGGAAUGGAGGUGUAGAGACAGUUUUCUUCUUCUUCUUCUUUAAAUGUGGAAAAGUUGUGCCUGAGCGCAUGAGAUAGAAAGGAGACCAGUUUCCUUUCUGUUAGCUGCAGUGAAUUGUAAAAUCUUUGUAACCUUUGAAUGAUCUGCAACGUUAUCUGUAAAAAUUGUUACUUUGGCCCCUUGAUACAUAAAUGUGUUUAAAUAAAUUACAACUGACAACUCA